GGGGCCAUCCCGGCUUACCAACCCGAUGCAAACUGCGAAUACCGGAGAAUGUUAUCACGGGAGACACACGGCGGGUGCUAACGUCCGUCGUGAAGAGGGAAACAACCCAGACCGCCAGCUAAGGUCCCAAAGUCAUGGUUAAGUGGGAAACGAUGUGGGAAGGCCCAGACAGCCAGGAUGUUGGCUUAGAAGCAGCCAUCAUUUAAAGAAAGCGUAAUAGCUCACUGGUCGAGUCGGCCUGCGCGGAAGAUGUAACGGGGCUAAACCAUGCACCGAAGCUGCGGCAGCGAACGUAUCACCCAAGACAACUUUACGGAGUUGACGAUUGACGGAGCGAAGCGACGUCAAAGCGUUCAUUAAAGUCGAGUUGGCUUAGGGAUACGUUCGUUGGGUAGGGGAGCGUUCUGUAAGCCUGUGAAGGUGUGUCGUGAGGCAUGCUGGAGGUAUCAGAAGUGCGAAUGCUGACAUAAGUAACGAUAAAGCGGGUGAAAAGCCCGCUCGCCGGAAGACCAAGGGUUCCUGUCCAACGUUAAUCGGGGCAGGGUGAGUCGACCCCUAAGGCGAGGCCGAAAGGCGUAGUCGAUGGGAAACGGGUUAAUAUUCCCGUACUUGGUGUUACUGCGAAGGGGGGACGGAGAAGGCUAUGUUGGCCGGGCGACGGUUGUCCCGGUUUAAGCGUGUAGGUGUGUGUUCCAGGUAAAUCCGGUUCACUUUAACACUGAGGCGUGACGACGAGGCACUACGGUGCUGAAGCAACAAAUGCCCUGCUUCCAGGAAAAGCCUCUAAGCAUCAGGUAACACGAAAUCGUACCCCAAACCGACACAGGUGGUCAGGUAGAGAAUACCAAGGCGCUUGAGAGAACUCGGGUGAAGGAACUAGGCAAAAUGGUGCCGUAACUUCGGGAGAAGGCACGCUGACACGUAGGUGAAGUGAUUUACUCAUGGAGCUGAAGUCAGUCGAAGAUACCAGCUGGCUGCAACUGUUUAUUAAAAACACAGCACUGUGCAAACACGAAAGUGGACGUAUACGGUGUGACGCCUGCCCGGUGCCGGAAGGUUAAUUGAUGGGGUCAGCGUAAGCG
rnacentral:rRNA from 1 species